ACUCCUACGGGAGGCAGCAGUGGGAAUAUUGCACAAUGGGCGCAAGCCUGAUGCAGCCAUGCCGCGUGUGUGAAGAAGGCCUCGGUUGUAAAUGCAGCUUUCAGUUGUGAGGAAAGGUUAGUCGCUAAUAUCGGCUAGCUGUGACGUUAGCAACAGAAGAAGCACCGGCUAACUCCGUGCCAGCAGCCGCGGUAAUACGGAGGGUGCGAGCGUUAAUCGGAAUUACUGGGCGUAAAGCGCGUGUAGGUGGCUUGUUAAGCCAGAUGUGAAAGCCCG
rnacentral:rRNA from 1 species